rnacentral:rRNA from 1 species
GAUGAACGCUGGCGGCGUGCUUAACACAUGCAAGUCGAGCGGAAAGGCUCCUGCUUGCAGGGGUACUCGAGUGGCGAACGGGUGAGUAACACGUGGGUGAUCUGCCCUGCACUUCGGGAUAAGCCUGGGAAACUGGGUCUAAUACCGGAUAGGACCAUCGUUCAGUGUCGGUGGUGGAAAGUUUUUUCGGUGUGGGAUGAGCUCGCGGCCUAUCAGCUUGUUGGUGGGGUAAUGGCCUACCAAGGCGUCGACGGGUAGCCGGCCUGAGAGGGUGUACGGCCACAUUGGGACUGAGAUACGGCCCAGACUCCUACGGGAGGCAGCAGUGGGGAAUAUUGCACAAUGGGCGCAAGCCUGAUGCAGCGACGCCGCGUGGGGGAUGACGGCCUUCGGGUUGUAAACUCCUUUCGCCAGGGACGAAGCGAAAGUGACGGUACCUGGAUAAGAAGCACCGGCUAACUACGUG